rnacentral:lncRNA from 1 species
ACUGUAAACCAACUUAUUUUCGCGGAUACUUUAUUUCGCGUUCUACCCUUUCUUGGCCACUUCGCGGCUAUUUUAUUUCGCGCUUUUCUUAUUUACUUGAAGGAAAGAUCUAAGUUUUACAUGUUCGCGACGAUUUAUAUUCGCGUUAUUUUUCUACUCGCGAAAGUCGCGAAAAUAGAUAGCUCGCGAAAAUAAGUUGGUUUACAGUAU